AGCUCCUGUCUACAGCUCCCAGCUUGAGCCACGCAGAAGAUGGGUGAUUUCUGCAUUUCCAUCUGAGGUACCAGGCUACACCCUGCAAGGUCAUUAUCAUUAGCUGCACUUUACAGGAGAGGAAGCUGAGGCUCAGAGAAGCAAACUGCCCUCCUACUUAUGUUGAAGACUUUCCCAUCCUAUGAGCCCAGGUGGGAGAAGCUGAAAAUGGCAGAAGGUCACUUUUCCAGCUGCCCUGUGCCUGGUGAGCCUGUGACACAGACCCCGUUGCUCACAUAUCCACCCAGUUUGGUGCCAUAGGUGGUAGCACUUCAGGGCCAAGGAGUUUGAAGAAGUCCAAGGUAGAGCUUUCUGGAAAAUCCUCUGGAGAGGUUGAUCAGAAACCUUCUCCCACAUAAACAAAGGACCCAGGAAGAAGCUAAAAAUGGGCCAUGAGAUUGUCUUUAUUCAUCAAGCCUGAAGUUUUCUGACUCUAUCUUUCUUUUCCCGUGGCCACUGUUACCUCUCCAGAACAGACCCCAUCACCUGAAUUCUGCCUGAGCCUCGACAGAUAUGCUCAGCU
rnacentral:lncRNA from 1 species